rnacentral:misc_RNA from 1 species
GUGAAUCAUCGAAUCUUUGAACGCAAAUUGCACUCUCUUCGGAGAGUAUGCCUGUUUGAGGGUCAGUAUUAAUAAAAAUCGGUGUGUUGCUUCUUUGUGACGCUCCGGAGUUUGGGUCAUCUUAAUAUCCUUUAGGUUUUAAGAGGCUUAAAAUUGACUUUUUGGUUCCAUGAACGUUUCUAAGAUUUAUUUCUUUACACGUUUAAGGGUAUCGAUUUUUAUUAGACGUGACCAUCGUAUCGGAUCGCGUCCAUAAUCUUUCAUUAACUGACCUCAGACAGGUAAGAGUACCCGCUGAA